AUGCCAGCAGCCGCGGUAAUACGGAGGGUGCAAACGUUGCUCGGAAUUACUGGGCGUAAAGCGCGCGUAGGCGGAUUGGUCAGUCAGGGGUGAAAUCCCGGGGCUUAACCUCGGAACUGCCUUUGAUACUGCCAGUCUCGAGUCCGGAAGAGGUGAGUGGAAUUCCUAGUGUAGAGGUGAAAUUCGUAGAUAUUAGGAAGAACACCGGUGGCGAAGGCGACUCACUGGUCCGGUACUGACGCUGAGGCGCGAAAGCGUGGGGAGCAAACAGGAUUAGAUACCCUGGUAGUCCACGCCGUAAACGAUGGAUGCUAGCCGUUGGGUAGUAUACUGCUCAGUGGCGCAGCUAACGCAUUAAGCAUCCCGCCUGGGGAGUACGGCCGCAAGGUUAAAACUUAAAUGAAUUGGCGGGG
rnacentral:rRNA from 1 species